GCCUACGGGGGGCAGCAGUGGGGAGUAUUGCACAAUGGGGGAAACCCUGAUGCAGCGACGCCGCGUGAGCGAAGAAGUAUUUCGGUACGUAAAGCUCUAUCAGCAGGAAAGAAAAUGACGGUACCUGACUAAGAAGCCCCGGCUAACUACGUGCCAGCAGCCGCGGUAAUACGUAGGGGGCAAGCGUUAUCCGGAUUUACUGGGUGUAAAGGGAGCGUAGACGGCAGCGCAAGUCUGGAGUGAAAUGCCGGGGCCCAACCCCGGAACUGCUCUGGAAACUGUGAAGCUGGAGUGCAGGAGAGGUA
rnacentral:rRNA from 1 species